rnacentral:tRNA from 1 species
GAUAAAAUAAGCUAAAAAAGCUAUCGGGCUCAUACCCCGAAAAUGGAUUUACCCCUUUUAUUA